GGGGGAUAACUACUGGAAACGGUAGCUAAUACCGCAUAACGUCGCAAGACCAAAGAGGGGGACCUUAGGGCCUCUUGCCAUCGGAUGUGCCCAGAUGGGAUUAGCUUGUAGGUGAGGUAACGGCUCACCUAGGCGACGAUCCCUAGCUGGUCUGAGAGGAUGACCAGCCACACUGGAACUGAGGCACGGUCCAGACUCCUACGGGAGGCAGCAGUGGGGAAUAUUGCACAAUGGGCGCAAGCCUGAUGCAGCCAUGCCGCGUGUAUGAAGAAGGCCUUCGGGUUGUAAAGUACUUUCAGCGGGGAGGAAGGGAGUGAGGUUAAUAACCUUAUUCAUUGACGUUACCCGCAGAAGAAGCACCGGCUAACUCCGUGCCAGCAGCCGCGGUAAUACGGAGGGUGCAGGCGUUAAUCGGAAUUACUGGGCGUAAAGCGCACGCAGGCGGUCUGUCAAGUCGGAUGUGAAAUCCCCGGGCUCAACCUGGGAACUGCAUUCGAAACUGGCAGGCUGGAGUCUUGUAGAGGGGGGUAGAAUUCCAGGUGUAGCGGUGAAAUGCGUAGAGAUCUGGAGGAAUACCGGUGGCGAAGGCGGCCCCCUGGACAAAGACUGACGCUCAGGUGCGAAAGCGUGGGGAGCAAACAGGAUUAGAUACCCUGGUAGUCCACGCUGUAAACGAUGUCGACUUGGAGGUUGUUCCCUUGAGGAGUGGCUUCCGGAGCUAACG
rnacentral:rRNA from 1 species